rnacentral:rRNA from 1 species
AUUGAACGCUGGCGGCAUGCCUUACACAUGCAAGUCGAACGGCAGCACGGACUUCGGUCUGGUGGCGAGUGGCGAACGGGUGAGUAAUGUAUCGGAACGUACCUUUCAGUGGGGGAUAACGUAGCGAAAGUUACGCUAAUACCGCAUAUUCUGUGAGCAGGAAAGCAGGGGAUCGCAAGACCUUGCGCUGAUUGAGCGGCCGAUAUCAGAUUAGCUAGUUGGUGAGGUAAAGGCUCACCAAGGCGACGAUCUGUAGCGGGUCUGAGAGGAUGAUCCGCCACACUGGAACUGAGACACGGUCCAGACUCCUACGGGAGGCAGCAGUGGGGAAUAUUGGACGAUGGGGGCAACCCUGAUCCAGCAAUGCCGCGUGAGUGAUGAAGGCC